UUAAAAAGUAGAAUUUACGUGGAGUAUGGGUUUUUUAAACCUUUUAUGAUAAAUAUGGCAUAAUUAACUAUGGACACUUUAUAUGGCUUUUUUAAAGUUUGGCCAUAAUUUAUGGGAUUUUAAAGCCCAUACGGCUGGAAUUUAUUUGUCAAAAGCCCAUAGUGUGUGUAUUGUAGUUUAUUUAGGUUAUUUUAGUAAUUUUAGGUGUUUAGAUUUUUUUUGGUUUAGUUUUUUUUCAACUGGUUUUUUUUAGAGGGUUUGCAUGUAAUCAUCAUGAUUUGAUGGUUGCUUCUACAUUUUAGUUUAUUUUUGCAGUUUCCAAUUCAGACAUAUUUUCCCUAAACAACCUAUACUAUUAUCUCUCUCCCUCCCUCUUUUUUUUUCAUUUCACCAUUUCUUCAUUUUCCUCUUUUUUCUUUUCCUCUUUCAUUUUCGUCCUCUGUUUUUUUUUUUUUUUUUUGCUCUCGAUUUUUGGAGGACAUUGCCGCCAUUGUUCUUCAAGUAAGAGCUACGGGUAAGAGCUUCCAUUGUUUGUGUGUUCUUCAAGGUAAGCAUGAGUUUUUUAUUUUUUUUUUCUCUCUAAUUUUAGGGUUUUUUGUUCCUUUUCAUUUUGUGGGUUUGUUGAAGUUGCAUUUGUUCUUAAUCGUUCUUACAUUCUUAUAUUUUCGUUUUUAUUUUUUUAUUUUGCAUUUUCUUGUUGAGUUAUGCUUAAUCCGAAGAGAGAGUGGGAAAAAUGAGAAUAGAAGAGAGUAGUUCCUUGAGAGAAAAUUAGGAGGAUUAAGAAAGAAACAAGGAGAAUCAUUGGAAAACAAUCUCAACCCAUUUUCUGUUUUAAGAUUAUUAGUGUGUUGUUGUUUUUCUUUUUUUUAAAAAUGUUUAAUCCGAAGUGAUUAUUGUGUUGUUGUAUUUAUUCAUAUUGGAUUAGUUAAGUAUUUUGUGUUUUGGGUUUUGUUUUAUGCUUUAGAAUUUUGUUGUUUAGUUUUUUUUUUUUUUAAUUUUUGUUAAUAUUCGGUGUUGUUGUUGUGUUUAUUUAUUUAUUUUUUUUAAAUUUGGUUGGUUUUUGGAUAUGAUUUUUGUUAGUUUUAGUGAUAAAUUUUCUUUCAUUUUUUAGAAACUGGUUUUUGGGUAUGAUUUUUUUUGAUGAUUUAGUAAUUUCGGGUUUUAGAGUCAAUGUGCUGUAAUAAAUUGUGGGUUUAUUGUGUAAUCUGAAAAGCCAUGUAAUUUCUGUUGAAAAUAUUGUAUCAAUUAUAAACUUGUAGGGAUUUUAUUUUGCAUGAAGAAAUUAUUGUUGUGUUUGAGCAGUUAUAAUCUUUGUUUUAUUUAUAGGAACUGGUUUUUGGUGUGUAUGGGUGGUUUUUAGGUUUGAGGUUUCAAAAUAAUUCUCAUAUGAAAAACCAGUUUCUAGAUCAUGAUUACAGUUUUAAAAAUAGGUUAGAAAUGAUGCAGGUGUUGUUUCGGAUCCUCGGAUUCCUAAUUUUGAAACAUGUCAAAAACAAGUUUCUGGAGUUUGAUUUAUGUUAUAGAUAUGUGUUAUUUGUGCAUUCUGUGAUAAUUUGGGUGUGUGGGUGGUUUUAAGGUUGAUGUUGCAAAAUGCUUGGAUCUUUGAAUGGGUUUCCUUUGGGCUGGAUUAUUAGUUUUAUUGUUUAGUUAAUUACUGUUGAGGAAAUUGUCGUUAUGUUUUUUUGUUUUUUUUUUUGUUGUUUUGUUUCGAUUUUGUGUGAAACUAGUUUUCGUGUUAAUUAUCAGGAUUAAUUUGUUGUUUGUGUCUAAUGUUUAUUUUGUGUUUUGUUUUUUUAUCAGAUGGAGAGUGAAUCAGCCUCAAAAGUCUCAUCUAUUGUUGAAAAGAUUGAGUAGGCUACGAAGGCUAAAGGCCGACCAAAAAAAUAUUCACGUAAAGCUAAAGAUCCUUUUGUCGAAGAAGAAAAACCUGUUGAAGUUGAAACGAGGAAAUCUCCACGUAAAUCCAAAGCCGAUAAUGUUGUGGAAGAUAUUCCCUUGAAAGCUCCAACAAGAAGAUCUCCCCGGAAACUUUAAGUAUGUAUUAAAUUUUGCUGAAUUCGGUUUAGCAUUUAUUUUAUGUUUCAUUGUUGGUUUGUAUUUUUAUUGUGUUUAAAUUUUCCAAGUAUUUUUUCCUUGAAAAUUGAUUUUUAUCCUUUAUAUGUUUGUUAUUAGAUUUGAGUAUGUUAUAUAAAACUGGUUUUUUUUUUUUUUUAAUUUGUUCUGUUUUGUUUAUGUUUAUUUUUUCAGGUUGAUAAUCAACAACUCCUGUACCUUAAAAUGUUAAAAAAAGAAAGAAAGUUCAGGGCUUUUAUGGGGAGAAAGACUGACCCAGACUUCAAGUAACUAGUUACUGCAAUUCGUCUUUGUACUAUUGUAUAUACUAUACAUGUGGGAU